rnacentral:rRNA from 1 species
GGNUCAACCAUAGUGUGCUCUGGAAACUGUNUGACUUGAGUGCAGAAGGGGAGAGUGGAAUUCCAUGUGUAGCGGUGAAAUGCGUAGAUAUAUGGAGGAACACCAGUGGCGAAAGCGGCUCUCUGGUCUGUCACUGACGCUGAGGCUCGAAAGCGUGGGUAGCGAACAGGAUUAGAUACCCUGGUAGUNCACGCCGUAAACGAUGAGUGCUAGGUGUUAGGCCCUUUCCGGGGCUUAGUGCCGGAGCUAACGCAAUAAGCACUCCGCCUGGGGAGUACGACCGCAAGGUUGAAACUCAAAGGAAUUGACGGGGGCCCGCACAAGCGGUGGAGCAUGUGGUUUAAUUCGAAGCAACGCGAAGAACCUUACCAGGUCUUGACAUCCCGAUGCUAUUCUUAGAGAUAGGAAGUUACUUCGGUACAUCGGAGACAGGUGGUGCAUGGUUGUCGUCAGCUCGUGUCGUGAGAUGUUGGGUUAAGUCCCGCAACGAGCGCAACCCUUAUUGUUAGUUGCCAUCAUUAAGUUGGGCACUCUAGCGAGACUGCCGGUAAUAAACCGGAGGAAGGUGGGGAUGACGUCAAAUCAUCAUGCCCCUUAUGACCUGGGCUACACACGUGCUACAAUGGUCGGUACAACGAGUUGCGGGCCGGUGACGGCAAGCUAAUCUCUGAAAGCCGAUCUCAGUUCGGAUUGGAGGCUGCAACUCGCCUCCAUGAAGUCGGAAUCGCUAGUAAUCGCGGAUCAGCACGCCGCGGUGAAUACGUUCCCGGGCCUUGUACACACCGCCCGUCACACCACGAGAGUUUGUAACACCCGAAGUCGGUGAGGUANCCUUUUAGGGGCCA